GCUGAGCGUGGUGGCGCACGCGUGUAGUCCCAGCUACUCCGGAGGCUGAGGCAGGAGAAUCACUUGAACCUGGGAGGCAGAGGUUGCAGUGAGCCAAGAUUGUGCCACUGCACUCCAUCCUGGGUGACAGAGUGAGACUCUGUCUCAA
rnacentral:SRP_RNA from 1 species